AUCAUGUCGGGUGCAUGCAGGCAUAGCAAAUCGCUCACGCGGCUCAGGUAACUGGUUGUUCUUUCUACUCCUACUUUCUAGAGUUUAGUGAGUUCUGUGAAGUUAGUUCCUUGAAGUACGACUCGUAGUGCUCACUUGACACAGUUGGACGAAGGUUUGAAACUUAGCUAAACUAAAACUUAGGCUAGCAGUGGCGACUCGUACUGUUAGCGCGGAGGCUCGAGUCGAGGCUUCAAGACGGUAAUUUACCGGUCAAGCAGCGCGUUAUGUGUAGCUUGUAGGAGGAUUGAACACCCAGCAUUAUCAUAGCAUAAUAGCUGCUGGUCCGCUGUUUCUCUGGGUAGAAUGUAACCUGGCUGUUGUUGAACAGCAGAAGAAACCGUUCUGUGGACAUGUACUUCACGUUUGCCAUGCAGGCAGCGCGGCCCGACUUGUCGUUAGGCGUAGGGGCGUUCGUGUGUUGCAGAGCUGUAGCUGUUGUGUAGAGGUGGUGAUGGACAAUGAGGACACACAGUCAUUGGCACAGCGCUAGCUGUUCUGCAGUGACGUCAUUGUAGCCACAUCCUGGUACUGUGCUGUGUUGUUGAAGAUUGGCAUUUGUACAGCGAUAUUUUCUGGACUGGCUCCGUUCCAGCAUUAGUUAGCUGGCUAGUACUUCGAAGUACAUGUACUUGGCUUGAGCAGUAGCAGCCGGCUGAUUGCGCUAGGGCCACCACUUAGUAUACAGUCCCGCACUGACAACGCACUGUAUUGAUAACUGCCGACGUCUGCAAGAACAAGAACAAGCGGCACAACCAGAACGGAAACAACAAGGCUCCUUCUUCAUGCAGAAACAACAAGGCUCCUUCUUCAUGCAGAAACAACAAGGCUUGUUUCUCCUUCUUCAUGCAGAAACAACAAGACUUGUUUCUCCUUCCUCAUGCAGAAGCAACAAGUUGCAUGUUCUCGGCAUUGCAUUUCAUUUUCUCGGUAUUGCAUUUUCUCGGUGGGGGGGGGGGGGGGCUUGCUUCUUUCUGGGAGCAAGCACUGAUUCUUCCUCCUCCACCUGCAUACAAACAAAUGGGAGCAUUUUCUCGGCGGCUUAUUUCUUCUUUUAAUUAAGAGCAAGCACUGCUCCUUCCUCCUUCUCCACCUGCACACAAACAAUAACAACAAAAGCAACAGCAAUAGAAGAGAAGCACAAUCAACUUGUUAUCAGUACAACUCAUGCUGCAGCAAGUUUGUGAUUCGAGUGACAGCCAUUAUUGCUUCGUCUUAUCCCAUUUUUGUGAGUGGAGUGACAUCCAUUGUGGCUUUUGCCAGUCUUAUCCUUUUUUGUGAGUCGAGUGACAUCCAUUGUGGCUUUUGCCAGUCUUAUCCUUUUUUGUGAGUCAAGUGACAUCCAUUAAGACAUUGUCUAAUCCUGGA